UCUCCGUUGGUGAACCAGCGGAGGGAUCAUUACCGAGUGAGGGUCCUUGUGGCCCGACCUCCAACCCUUUGUGAACACAACUUGUUGCUUCGGGGGCGACCCUGCCGUUCGCGGCGUGGGGCCCCCGGAGCCCAUCAAACCCUGCGUAACUGAGUCGUCGGAGUUUAAACAAAUUAAACAAAACUUUCAACAACGGAUCUCUUGGUUCGGGCAUCGAUGAAGAACGCAGC
rnacentral:misc_RNA from 1 species